GACGAACGCUGGCGGCGUGCUUAACACAUGCAAGUCGAACGGAAAGGCCCUGCUUUUGUGGGGUGCUCGAGUGGCGAACGGGUGAGUAACACGUGAGUAACCUGCCCUUGACUUUGGGAUAACUUCAGGAAACUGGGGCUAAUACCGGAUAGGAGCUCCUGCUGCAUGGUGGGGGUUGGAAAGUUUCGGCGGUUGGGGAUGGACUCGCGGCUUAUCAGCUUGUUGGUGGGGUAGUGGCUUACCAAGGCUUUGACGGGUAGCCGGCCUGAGAGGGUGACCGGCCACAUUGGGACUGAGAUACGGCCAAGACUCCUACGGGAGGCAGCAGUGGGGAAUAUUGCAAAAUGGGCGGAAGCCUGAUGCAGAAACGCCGCGUGCGGGAUGACGGCAUUCGGGUUGUAAACCGCUUUCGCCUGUGACGAAGAGUGAGUGACGGUAAUGGGUAAAGAAGCACCGGCUAACUCCGUG
rnacentral:rRNA from 1 species